AUUGAACGCUGGCGGCAGGCCUAACACAUGCAAGUCGAGCGAGCGGCGGACGGGUGAGUAAUGUCUGGGAAACUGCCUGAUGGAGGGGGAUAACUACUGGAAACGGUAGCUAAUACCGCAUACCAUCGGAUGUGCCCAGAUGGGAUUAACCAUUAGGUGGGGUAACGGCUCACCUAGGCGACGAUCCCUAGCUGGUCUGAGAGGAUGACCAGCCACACUGGAACUGAGACACGGUCCAGACUCAUACGGGAGGCAGCAGUGGGGAAUAUUGCACAAUGGGCGCAAGCCUGAUGCCGCCAUGCCGCGUGUAUGAAGAAGGCCUUCGGGUUUUAAAGUACUUUCAGCGGGGAGGCGUUACCCGCAGAAGACGCACUGGCUAACUCCGGGCCAGCAGCCGCGGUAAUAC
rnacentral:rRNA from 1 species